AACUCUUUUGAGGACUCCCACGUGAGGUUUGCUUCUAUUUUUUCAUUCCCUCUCCCCCGCCCCCACGUCUGGGAGGAUGAUCUUUCCUGAUUCCUAAACUGGUGGGAAUGGACAGAUCUUGUCACAGUCAAAGGCAAAUGGGACAUGAGGUUGAAGCAGUGUGGCUGGCACAGGGAAGACAUGAGAAGCAAUGAACAGUGUUACAAGAAAGGAUUGAGAAGGAGGACAAAUAAUUAUUUUGCUAUGCUGACUGGAUGAUGGGAAUUUUAGCCCUUGUUUAUUUUAUGUGGUUUCUGUAAUACAAAGUUAAAAAUGGCAACCAUGUAUCCAUGUGACCAAUUGCCCUUCUUCCCCCCCUGGUUAAAAGAAUAGACUGGAUAAAUCAAAUGGACUACCAUUUAGCAAUA